CGGGAAGAGCUCAUGUUUGAAAUCCAGCCCCCUGCGGGGCUGGAGUUGUAACCUAGAGGAGCGUGAUCGCCUGCCGGCAGGGCCGCGGCCAAGUCCGAUUUGAAAAGGGCACCGAGGAGGGUGGCAGUCCCGUUCGUGCCGCAGUCCCGCCGGCGAUGUGGCCCGCUUCCAACGAGUCGAGUUGCUUGGGAUUGCAGCUCAAAGUGGGUGGUAAACUCCAUCCAAAGCUAAACACGGGUGGGAGACCGAUAGCGAACAAGUACCGUGAGGGAAAGAUGCAAAGAACUUUGAAAAGAGAGUCAAAGAGUGCCUGAAAUUGCUGAGAGGGAAGCGAAGGAAAGUAGUGUCAGUCGAGGGGACCUCGCACGCCCGGGGAGCGUUCCGCGUUCCCCAGGCUAUGUCCCCCGCGGUGUCAGGGGCGGGUGCCUUGCCGGAGGCGGCGGCCCAGGGUAUAGGUGCUCCGAGGUAAGAGCCGGAGGAAUGCCGCAACAUGGUGGGAUCCGCGUCCCGGUCGCGGCCGUUCCUGAC
rnacentral:rRNA from 1 species